AGCGGGUGGACUGACGGAUCCCCGUUUGGUUACAUCGUCAUGGACGGAGAUGACCCCGGUGACCUCGCUGGUGCGUCCUGUCUUUCCUUACUCACAAGCAACGGCCGCUGGAAGUUUGACGAUUGCCGGAAGAAGAGAGGCUACAUCUGCAAGAAAAGAGG